GAUGAACGCUGGCGGCGUGCCUAAUACAUGCAAGUCGAGCGAACAGAUCAGGACCUUUCUCCUCUGACUUUAUCGGCGGACGGGUGCGUCACACGUGGAUAACCUACCUAUAAGACUGGGAUAACUUCGGGAAACCGGAGCUAAUACCGGAUAAUAUAUUGAACCGCAUGGUUCAAUAGUGAAAUACGGUUUUGCUGUCACUUAUAGAUUGAUCCGCGCCGCAUUAGCUAGUUGGUAAGGUAACGGGUUACCAAGGCAACGAUGCGGAACCGACCCGAAAGCGUGAACGGACAGACGGGAAGAGAGAAAGGGCCCAGACUCCUACGGUAGGAAGCGGUAGAGACUCUUACGCGAUGGGGGAGAGGCUAAUGGUGCAAAACGGCGUGAGUGCUGAUGGUGUUAGGAUCGUAGAAUUCUGUUAUUAGGGAAGAAGAAAUGUGUAAGUACCUAUGAACAUAUUGACGGUACCGAAUCAGAAAGCCACGGCUAACUACGUG
rnacentral:rRNA from 1 species